rnacentral:tRNA from 1 species
GGGCCAGUAGUCUAGCCCGGAAUGACGCCUGCAUGGCAUGCAGGAGGUCGCGCGUUCAAAAAAGGGGCACCCCAUGUGGCGUUAUUUGCGCUGCACGCGGUCUCUACCGCGGUAUGCCCUAGAACCCCUACGGCAAUCGCGCCUGGUCCACCA